CCGCGAAUCCAAAUGUAUGCAAAUCGGAUAGGUGUGUUUGGCACAACAUCACAAAUUCGCAGAACAGAAAACUAGGGUUAACCCAUACGCCUCCCACAACAAAACACCAAAUGGCCCACUUCCUCCAAAGCCCAAAAUGGAGACGUCGUGGACUAAUCACACCGCCACGGAAAGUGUCACGUCUCUCGUGCCAAGACGACGUGCCUGUGGUACCCCCCACAGGUGGUUAUAACUCAGGUAUACUCUACGGUAUAUUCUAACAAAAAUAUCAUGUCACAACACAUGCGACAUAAUACCAACAAAAGGGUUCUAUAUGUACAUGUUGAACCGAAUCAAAUUAUAGUCACAAGGUUUCAAAAGGAAGGUAGAAACAUGUACCGCUCUACAAUUAUCAAAAUAAAUAAUACUAAACAUGAUAACCUAAUUCAAAGAAUACAACUACGAGUCAUAUGUAUAAACUCUAAAAUGAAACUAAUAUAUUUAUUUCACAAGAAACAAUUAUGUGAAAUCAUAAUAGAAUUCGAAAUAAG
rnacentral:lncRNA from 1 species